CCUACGGGAGGCAGCAGUGAGGAAUAUUGGUCAAUGGACGAGAGUCUGAACCAGCCAAGUAGCGUGAAGGAUGACUGCCCUAUGGGUUGUAAACUUCUUUUAUAUGGGAAUAAAAUGUUCCACGUGUGGGAUUUUGUAUGUACCAUAUGAAUAAGGAUCGGCUAACUCCGUGCCAGCAGCCGCGGUAAUACGGAGGAUCCGAGCGUUAUCCGGAUUUAUUGGGUUUAAAGGGAGCGUAGGUGGAUUGUUAAGUCAGGUGUGAAAUUUUGCGGCUCAACCGUAAAAUUGCAGUUGAAACUGGCAGUCUUGAGUACAGUAGAGGUGGGCGGAAUUCGUGGUGUAGCGGUGAAAUGCUUAGAUAUCACGAAGAACUCCGAUUGCGAAGGCAGCUCACUGGACUGCAACUGACACUGAGGCUCGAAAGUGUGGGUAUCAAACAGGAUUAGAUACCCCAGUAGUC
rnacentral:rRNA from 1 species